CUCUCUCUCUCUCUCUCUCUCUCUCUCUCUCUCUCGUAAAAGAUUCAGUGAUAACGUUUAACGUAAAAGAUUUUAUACAUAGUUGUUGGUCACUCAUAUAAAUAUCAAAUUUGAUAUUUCUUAAGAGUUGUUUAAUAUUAUUAGUGUUUAUUUGUGGUAUCUGAACAGACGUUGCAAAAGUGUGUAAUAUGCGCCUCGUGUGUAAGUGUUUAUUGGUGAUUUCGAAAAAGUCCUUCUAAAAUUGGUAUACCAAGGAUGGCUACUAGAGGUUGUACAAAUUCUCCGGAAUCAUUUCGCUAUGUGUGUGGUUAUUAUAUUGGAAAAAAACAGGUAUUACAUAAGAUCGUGAAAGGUGCCAAAUUGUGGAUAGCGUACAGACUAUUUCGGAAUGCCCUUGGGUGACUAGGACAAACCAUGGGCCCCUCAUGUGAUAUGUGGCAGCUGCCGAUCUACUCUAGAAGGAUGGUUAAGAGGUGGUGCAGGAAGGGCAAUGCCUUUUGCCGUUCCCAGAGUAUGUAGAGAGCCGAAGAACCAUCACGAUGAUUGUUACUUUUGUAUGAUUGAUGUGACAAAGUACAGAAAAGUGAAAGGAGACAAGCUCUUCAGUAUCCAGAUAUCCCAUCAUCUAGAGCACCUGUCCCACAUGAUGGCAUCUUACCAGAACCACAACCACCACAAAAUAUGGAAGGUGUAAUGGCUAUUUCAUCUGAAGAGUCAGUAAAUAGCAGCAGCCAAGAAAUGGAGGAAGCUUUUGUACCAAGAACGACUUCAGAGCCUCACUUUCCAAAUCAGAGUGAGGUAGAUGAUUUAAUCAGGGAUUUAAAUCUAACUAAGUUAGGAGCUGAACUUCUUUCAUCAAGGCUGAAGGAAUGGAAUCUACUAUGGGAAGACUGCAGGACAUCUGUGUGCCGGAAACGACAUGUGAAUUUGAAAUUUACUAUGACAUUAGUAAUGAUCUGUGUUACUGUAAAGAUGUGAUUGGAUUGUUUACUGCUAUUGGAGUCAAGCAUGAACCUUCAGAAUGGCGAAGUCUCAAAGCAGUGGUGCUCCAUAAUAGAAAUAAAUAUCCAUCUUUCCCUCUUGUACAGUCCGUGCAGAAGAAAGAAAACUAUGAUGAUGUCAAACAACUUCUUGACAAAAUAUAUUAUGCUGAAUUCAAGUGGGAUGUUUGUGGUGAUUUCAAGAUGCUUGCCUUCUUGCUUGGUUUGCAAAGGGGAUGGAUACACAAAGUAUUCAUGUUUCCUUUGCUUAUGGACAGCAGAGCUGAUGAUGAUCAUUACGAGAAAGUUGAUGCAGCCCGGAAUGUUAAAUGUUCUCAGACAGCCUCUAGUAGAUUCCAACAAAGUCUUAUUACCCCCACUUCAUAUUAAAUUAGGAUUGGUAAAGCAGUUUGUGAAGGCCUUAGGUACUGGAGGAGAAGCUUUUCAAGAAAGUCGUCUCAUGUUUCCAAAGUUACCUGAGGCUAAAAUCAAGGGUGGCAUAUUUGCUGGACCCCAAGUAAAUGCAAUGUUGAAGUCGGAGAAACUGGAAAGAGCGAUGACAAAGGUUGAAAAAGAAGCAUGGUGUGCAUUUCAUGAUGUAGUUCGUGGAAUCCUAGGAAAUCACAAGGAUCCUAAUUACAAACAAAUGGCAGCAAAACUUAUUGAGAACUUCAAGAAACUGGAUUGUCGUAUGUUCUUGAUUAAAGGUACAUUUUUUGCACUCUCACCUAGAUUUCUUCCCCGAAAACUUGGGUGAUGUCAGUGAGGAGCUUGGUGAGAGAUUUCAUCAGGACAUCGCAACAAUGGAAAGAAGAUAUCCAGGACAAUGGGAUACUGCUAUGAUGGGAGAUUACAUUGGGUCUCUAGUCGGAAAAGAUGAAAGUAUGCACUCUAGAAAAUUCGAUUGUCAAAGCACUGCUGAUCUUAAGAGAAGAGUUAUCAAAGCAUUUAAAGUGCAGAAUUGUAUUGUUUCAUUUUGUUCUAACUAAUAUUGUA